UACGUAGGUGACAAGCGUUGUCCGGAUUUACUGGGCGUAAAGAGCGCGCAGGCGGUCGAUCAAGUCGAGUGUGAAAGCCCCCGGCUCAACUGGGGAGGGUCAUUCGAUACUGAUCGACUCGAAGGCAGGAGAGGGUAGUGGAAUUCCCGGUGUAGUGGUGAAAUGCGUAGAUAUCGGGAGGAACACCAGUGGCGAAGGCGGCCAUCUGGACGUCAACUGACGCUGAGACGCGAAAGCAUGGGGAGCAAACAGG
rnacentral:rRNA from 1 species